AAUAAAGUGCCUGAAACCAAAAGGGCUAUUUUGAUAGAAUAGAUUAUGCGGACUUCCGCCUUUAUUA
rnacentral:tRNA from 1 species